UACGUAGGGUGCGAGCGUUAAUCGGAAUUACUGGGCGUAAAGCGUGCGCAGGCGGUUCGCUGUGUCCGAUGUGAAAGCCCCGGGCCUAACCUGGGAAUGGCAUUGGAAACUGGCGGGCUUGAGGGCGGCAGAGGGGGGUGGAAUUCCGCGUGUAGCAGUGAAAUGCGCAGAUAUCAGGAGGAACGCCGGUGGCGAAGGCGGCUUGCUGGGCCUUACCUGACGCUGAGGAGCGAAAGCGUGGGGAGCGAACAGG
rnacentral:rRNA from 1 species